rnacentral:rRNA from 1 species
AUUGAACGCUGGCGGCAUGCCUUACACAUGCAAGUCGAACGGCAGCACGGGAGCAAUCCUGGUGGCGAGUGGCGAACGGGUGAGUAAAGUAUCGGAACGUGCCCAGUCGUGGGGGAUAACGUAGCGAAAGUUACGCUAAUACCGCAUACGAUCUAUGGAUGAAAGCGGGGGAUCGCAAGACCUCGCGCGAUUGGAGCGGCCGAUAUCAGAAUUAGGUAGUUGGUGGGGUAAAGGCCCACCAAGCCGACGAUCUGUAGCUGGUCUGAGAGGACGACCAGCCACACUGGGACUGAGACACGGCCCAGAAUCCUACGGGAGGGAGCAGUGGGGAAUUUUGGACAAUGGGCGAAAGCCUGAUCCAGCCAUGCCGCGUGCAGGAUGAAGGCCUUCGGGUUGUAAACUGCUUUUGUACGGAACGAAAAGGACUGCCCUAAUACGGUGGUCCCAUGACGGUACCGUAAGAAUAAGCACCGGCUAACUACGUGCCAGCCGCCGCAGUAA